GUGACUUCCCUCUGAAGAUCUGUUAGACAUGCCCCAGUCAUCUUGGUUCCUUGGUGGCAGCUGUUCCACCUGGCUGUGUCCAGUCAGCCAUCUUGCCCUCCCUCCAGAAAUUCAAAAAAAAUUUCAGAUGAGAAAACUGAGGCACAGAGAGGUGAAAUAAGGGAAUGAAAUAUUACUGGAUGAAAUAAUUAUACUGAUCCUAGCCUUAUUUUAAAAGGGCCCCCAGAAUGCUCUUCUCCAAGACUUAGAAAAAUCAAAUGCUAUCCAUCCCUCAAGAUACAUCCCUCCAGCCCCUCCUUGAAGUCUCCUGCAGCUAGAAGUAGAAGUAGCAUCUAUCCCCAUCUGGACUCCUUAGCACUUUGCUGUACCUGCCUUAGUCCCCAUCUCUUUACACACACACACACACACACACACACACACACAGAGUAUUAUAAUACUAUUACCUAUUAUAUUACAUUAUAUUAUUGUAGUUCUACAGGAACUACAAGGAAUUCUACUGUGAAUUCCUUAAGGGUGGGAUACAUUUUACAAUCAUCACUGUUUCUCUCAUUAGUUGUGGAAUCAAAAAAAUGAGUGCACGAUGAAAAAUUAUUCAAACACAUACAUGCUUUCAUUCCAAUUGAAAAUGUAAAAAUAUUACUGUUAAAACAAUAUUAAAGGACAUGUAAUACAAUUCAAAUAUUCCUACCAUGCACGAUUGUUUUCACUUCUUUGUGCCUCUUUCACCAUUUAUUUGUGUGCAUACUCAGCAUAUUUGUUUGUGUAACAGGAUGUUAAAAAUAGAAUUUGUUGCCUGUAGUUUUUGCUAAAGCUCUACUAGACUGGAACAGAACAAUAGGUGGUAAAUACUCCAUUCCUCAGUGAGAUGCUACCUACCUAUGCAGAGCUGGAAAAGAUUUUGCAACCUGAAAACCCAAUCCUUUCUGAGAUAUAAAAGAACAGAAGAGUCUGGAAGUGAUUUCUUCGGAGAAAUUCAUUUUCUUAUUCCAGAGAAGAAACUUCAAGCUCAGAAUAUUGGCUACUACCUGUGAUAAACAUUUAAAUUAUUGGAACGAGAGAGUUUUUAUAACUAAAUUUGAAAGAAGCAAUUUUUUUUAUCAAAGACCAACCCGAAGAUUCAUGACCACUACCUGUGAUUUCAUCCAUGUUGCAAGGAAAAUCCUGCCCCACUUCCCCAAUAGGAAGAGUGGUGGGGGAAUAAUAAAGUUGUUUUAUGAUGCAUCCUGUGGACUUCUACUCGACAGAAUGGUAACAUUCAACUGUAAUCAGGAUGAGCAAGCCACUUUAUUAAACUAAAAUUUUAAACUUUAAUAAAUAUAAUACAAACUGAAAAAUAAAAAUAAUUUUUCAACUCUACACAAGUAUGUUAACUGCAUAAACAGUGAGAUGUUACACAGGGCUGAGGCCUAUACUUCUUCAGUUUGUACAUUAAACGUCUCCAUGGAGGGUCAAUUGCAUCCUACCUAUUCUGACAGUUAUCAGGUAGCGAGAGAUUUGAGGAAGAGGCGCUUUUCUAAUCUGGGGUAGGAAAAGGAAUGAUACCAUGUAUCAUGAGAAGUAUUUGCACAUAGUGUGUCAAUUAAGCAAGUGCUCAGACUAUUAACAACAUUACUAUGUGAUGAAUGUUUAUACAGUGGAUUCAAAAAUAAGCUUCUUUCCAGAAAGCAGCUUAGUUUUCAUUAAUUAUUACCAGCAUCUUGGUAAUUAUUUAUUUAAUGGUUUAAAAGUUAAAGUUUCAAUCUAUAUUUGUUUUUUUAACAUCAGCCAAGGAAAUACAUGUCUGUUAUACUGCAUCUUUGGAAGUAUGCAAUAAGUGUAACUAUUGAAUCUAUAUUGAAGAGCCACAAGACACUGAAUUUAAUUGGACGAGACUAUUUUAUUUAGGAAGACAAUCAUCUCCUGUGAUCAGCUUAAGGUUUUUGUUUUGUUUUAUCUGGAACAAGCUAAGUUCAUAUUUAGAAAAUAAAGUUAGUUUUUUGGGUGCAUGAGUUUUAGAGUAAAUUAGUAAUUUAGUAAACUUUGACAUUUCCACUUUGUCUCCAAACACAUUUAAAUUCUAUCUGUCUGACUGAAGUUCUAAGGCAUUCUGUGGUUACUUAGAAAUGAUUCCUUAUAUUAAUGUUUACAAAUGCUAAAUUGUAUUUGUUAAAUACAUGUCUUAUUGCCUAAGAGUUUUCCUUUCUUAUAAGUUUAAUAUAAAUGUCUAGGAAAUAAGACUCCCAUUUAAUAGCUUAUAAAGAAUGCUGAUGUAUCAGCAGUGGCCUUGACAUUAUUGGAUACAAGUAAGAUCUACACUGAUGAUUAAAUCAAAUUGGCUAAGAUUAUUCGUUCUAAUAAAAGCACUGACUCCAUGAAGUUUUCUUGUGGCUGAAAUUAACAUUCGUGUUCCUACAAGCUCUUUAAAAUCUUAGUUACUGAAAAUUAUUCCUUUUGACCUAAUUUUUUCUUUACUUUGGAUGUAUUUGACAAGGUAGAGGUUAGGGAUUGGAGAGUAUGUAAAGAAUGAAAUAAAAUGUAGUCACUUUUAACUAUAUCCACAUA
rnacentral:lncRNA from 10 species